rnacentral:pre_miRNA from 1 species
UUUGUACUCCCUCCGUUCGGAAUUACUUGUCGCGAAAAUGGAUGUAUCUAGACGUAUUUUAAUUCUAAAUACAUCUAUUUCCGAGACAAGUAAUUCCGAACGGAGGGAGUAGCUU